GAUGAACGCUGGCGGCGUGCCUAAUACAUGCAAGUCGAGGGCAGCGGCGGACGGGUGAGUAAUGUCUGGGAAACUGCCUGAUGGAGGGGGAUAACUACUGGAAACGGUAGCUAAUACCGCAUACUAUCAGAUGAGCCUAGGUCGGAUUAGCUAGUUGGUGGGGUAAAGGCCUACCAAGGCGACGAUCCGUAACUGGUCUGAGAGGAUGAUCAGUCACACUGGAACUGAGACACGGUCCAGACUCCUACGGGAGGCAGCAGUAGGGAAUCUGCCGCAAUGGGCGAAAGCCUGAUCCAGCCAUGCCGCGUGUGUGAAGAAGGUCUUCGGAUUGUAAAGCACUUUAAGUUGGGAGGCGUUACCAACAGAAUAAGCACCGGCUAACUUCGUGCCAGCAGCCGCGGUAAUAC
rnacentral:rRNA from 1 species